rnacentral:rRNA from 1 species
GCAAGUCGAACGAUGUAGUGGCAGACGGGUGAGUAACACGUGGGAAUUUACCUAUCGGUACGGAACAGCUCAGGGAAACUUGGAUUAAUACCGUAUACGUCCUUCGUGAGAAAGAUUUAUCGCCGAUAGAGAAGCCCGCGGUGGAUUAGCUAGUUGGUGUGGUAAAGGCUCACCAAGGCGACGAUCCAUAGCUGGUCUGAGAGGAUGAUC